UUGACCUCAAAUCAGUAGG
rnacentral:rRNA from 1 species